rnacentral:tmRNA from 1 species
GGGGCUGUAACGGCUUCGACGUUUUAGUGAACGUAGCCUCGUGAUUCAGGCCGAGAGUGAGUUACCUCUCGUAAAUCAAUGACUCAAACAAAACGUAAAUGCGAACAACAUCGUUCCUUUUGCUCGUAAGACAGUACUAGCUACUGCCUAAAAACCUCUCCGGUUUUUGAGCGUUUAUAGUUUGACUCCGUUAAGGACUAUAGACCUAACCCCCAACGGACUGCUCUAACGAUUUAUCUCUGGUUAGAUCGUUAGCUAAGACAAUACUAGAGAAUCCUAUCGUCGGGGAUAAUUGACGAUCCUCGCUUCUAGGGUAUAGAAGCUAAGCCUGUGAACGAAUGGGGAGCUAAUAACUAGGGCGGACACGGGUUCGACUCCCGUCAGCUCCACUU